rfam:Ascaris lumbricoides genome assembly, scaffold: ALTE_scaffold0010099
UCCUCUGUAGUAUAGUGGUGAGUAUCCGCGCCUGUCACGUGCGAGACCCGUGUUCGAUUCCCGGCCGGGGAC